rnacentral:rRNA from 1 species
UACGAAGGGGGCUAGCGUUGCUCGGAAUCACUGGGCGUAAAGGGUGCGUAGGCGGGUCUUUAAGUCAGGGGUGAAAUCCUGGAGCUCAACUCCAGAACUGCCUUUGAUACUGAAGAUCUUGAGUUCGGGAGAGGUGAGUGGAACUGCGAGUGUAGAGGUGAAAUUCGUAGAUAUUCGCAAGAACACCAGUGGCGAAGGCGGCUCACUUGGCCCGAUACUGACGCUGAGGCACGAAAGCGUGGGGAGCAAACAGG